GGCGCGGUGGCGGAGUGGCUACGCAGCGGAUUGCAAAUCCGUCCAGACCGGUUCGAUUCCGGUCCGCGCCUCCA
rnacentral:tRNA from 1 species